GUCUACUGCCAUGCCACCCUGAACAAGCUUGACGUCCAAUCUCGGAAGCUAAGCAGGAUCAGGCCUGGUUAGUACUUGGAUGGGAGACCACCUAGGAAGACCAGGUGCUGUAAGCA
rnacentral:rRNA from 1 species